GCGAUAUAGAAAAGAUUGAUUGUUUAGGUAGCCUUCCAAGCUGAAUACGCGGGUUCGAUUCCCGCUACCCGCUCCA
rnacentral:tRNA from 1 species